UGGGGAAUAUUGCGCAAUGGGCGAAAGCCUGACGCAGCGACGCCGCGUGAGGGAUGAAGGUUUUCGGAUCGUAAACCUCUGUCAGGGGGGAAGAAACACCCAUAUGUAAAUAAUGUAUGGGCUUGACGGUACCCCCAAAGGAAGCACCGGCUAACUCCGUGCCAGCAGCCGCGGUAAUACGGAGGGUGCAAGCGUUAAUCGGAAUUACUGGGCGUAAAGCGCUCGUAGGCGGCUUGGCAAGUCACAGGGUGAAAUCCCACGGCUCAACCGUGGAACAGCCCUUGAAACUGCCUGGCUAGAGUACUGGAGAGGGUGGCGGAAUUCCAGGUGUAGGAGUGAAAUCCGUAGAUAUCUGGAGGAACACCGGUGGCGAAGGCGGCCACCUGGACAGUAACUGACGCUGAGGAGCGAAAGCGUGGGUAGCAAACA
rnacentral:rRNA from 1 species